UCGAACGGGUAAUAUUUGUUUUGUAGUUGAAGGAGCAAUCCGGAUGCUGCAAAACUUUUAUUACUAGUGGCAAACGGGUGCGUAACACGUGGAUAAUUUUCCUUUGUCACGGCCAUAACUCUGAGAAAUCGGAGCUAAUAGCCGAUGGUAUUUGGCAGCGUAUGUUGCUAAAAUUAAAGGGUCCGGGUUAAACCGGAUUGGACAAAGAUGAGUCCGCGGACUAUCAGCUAGUUGGCGGGGUAACAGCCCACCAAGGCUAUGACGGUUAGCCGGCCUGAAAGGGUGAACGGCCACAUUGGAACUGAGACACGGUCCAGACUCCUACGGGAGGCAGCAGUGGGGAAUAUUGGACAAUGGACGAAAGUCUGAUCCAGCAAUACCGCGUGAGGGAUGAAGGUCUUCGGAUUGUAAACCUCUUUUAAGAGAUGACGAACAGCUCGGGUAACCCCCGAGUUUGACGGUAAUUUCAGAAAAAGUCACGGCUAACUACGUGCCAGCAGCCGCGGUAAUACGUAGGUGGCAAGCGUUAUUCGGAUUUACUAGGCGUAAAGGACAGGUAGGUGGUCAGGUAAGUUGAGAGUGAAAUCCCCUGCUAAAUCAGGGUGGGCCUUUCAAAACUACUUGACUUGAGUAUGGGAGGGGGAAUCGGAAUUCCUGGUGUAGCGGUGAAAUGCGUAGAUAUCAGGAGGAACACCGAUGGCUAAAGCGGAUUCCUAUCCUAUUACUGACACUGAUCUGUGAAGGCGUGGGGAGCAAACAGGAUUAGAUACCCAGGUAGUCCACGCGGUAAACAAUGCUCACUUGGUAUGGGAGGCAUCAACUCCUUCUGUGCCGUAGCUAACGCGUUAAGUGAGCCGCCUGGGGAGUACGGCCGCAAGGUUGAAACUCAAAGGAAUUGACGGGGGCCCGCACAAGCGGUGGAGCAUGUGGUUUAAUUCGACACAACGCGAGGAACCUUACCCAGGCUUGAAAAACUAGUGGUACAUUGACGAAAGAUCAGUGGACCCGUAAGGGAGCUAGUAGAGGUGCUGCAUGGUUGUCGUCAGCUCGUGCCGUGAGGUGUAUGGUUAAGUCCCAUAACGAGCGCAACCCCUGUUCCAUGUUGCUAACCCGCAAGGGAGCACUCUUGGAAGACUGCCCUGGUUAACGGGGAGGAAGGCGGGGAUGACGUCAAAUCAUCAUGGCCUUUAUGUCUGGGGCCACACACGUGCUACAAUGGCUACUACAAUGGGAAGCUAAGCCGUAAGGUGGAGCAAAUCCAUAAAAAGUAGCCCCAGUUCAGAUCGAGGGCUGCAACUCGCCCUCGUGAAGUCGGAAUCGCUAGUAAUCGCUGAUCAGCAGGCAGCGGUGAAUACGUUCCCGGGCCUUGUACACACCGCCCGUCACACCAUGGGAGCUAGUUGCAAUAGAAGUUUUGUCUUUGGCAGAAUGAAGUUGUGACUGGUGACUGGGGUGAAGUCGAAACAAGGUAGGCGUACGAGAACG
rnacentral:rRNA from 1 species